GCCACAUAGUCUACAACCAAGGUACUUCAGAACAUUUUCUCCACCAGUCACAGCAGGAGAAGAGCUCUUGAAUCUUUGCUAGUUAAACUGUAAGAGGAAAAAAGGGAAAUGGUGUAGGGGCAACCUGAGUGACAUCCUGCUAUGCACCCAGAAUGAGAUUUAGCCUGGCUGACAACCAGAAACAAAUAUAGGAAGAUGGUCUAAGAAGAAAGGUCAGGAAUACAGAACAAAGAAAGAAAAGAGAGAGAAUACAACUGCCUCGAAUGACCACAUAAAAUGGCACAGAAGAAAGCAGACUGUGAAAUCGAAGGUAAAUGCACUUGAAUGCUGUUGACUGUGGGAUGGGGAACCUGGUCAGGAGAUGGAAUCAUGAUAGACCACUGGAAAUCCACCUCCCUACCCCCCAGGCCUUGCCUGUUGCUGCACAGGAAAUCCUGGUGGGCAAAAUGGAGAAAGAUUACGCCCCCUCCCGAGUCUCAUCCCAUCAGGUCUCUGUGACACAGACCAGGCUUGUAUCCCAUACUAGUGAAAGACUAUGAUGAGAGAGAGAACUUUGAAACUGGAAGUUUGUUGGAAUUGAAGAUCUGCUCCUUCUCUAAACACCAACCAAGAGACUGCCCUGAAUUGAGACACAAUGAAAUAACACAUUCAGCAGGUGAACAGAAAAAAGAACUCAAAUAUCUUAUGAAGUUUCAGAUCUAUGGCAUUUUUGUCACACGUCUAUUUUGACAGAAAGGGAAAAGCAUUCUGGGGGAUUCUCCAUAUCUAAAGCUUAAAUCAGUUGAUCAAUGUAGCAUAUUCUGAAGUCAGCAAAAUGUAUUGGGUCAGUUUUGCACUGACAAUCUCAUAUCCAGUAUCUUUAGGGCCUACUCCCAAGCAAGCAUAAAUAAGGACUACAGCCUUAACUGCAGAAUAAAUCCUAUGCCAUUAUGCUCAGUGAAGCCUAUUCCCUGCUUAAACGCAUGGAACUGCAGUUUAAGAGAUUACUGUGCUACAAUACACAGCUGAAAAGCAAAUGGCAUAAUAGCCACAUGAAGGCUCUGUUGGAGUCUUUGGUCAACCCCACAUUCCAUUUAGCCUUUUGUCAAUCCCCUCCAGAAUAAAGGUCUUACGGCAAAUCAUUUG